GGGGGGGGGGACAGGGUGCUGAGGGCAGGUGUGAGCCGAGGAGGAGGGUGGACAGGAGAUCUGCUGUGUCCCCUUCAUGUUCGUUCUCUCCAAGCCACUCUCUGGAGCCAGCCAACCAAGUACAGGACUUGAUGCCUCAAAGCAAGUGGCCCAGAGUGAUGCUGCAGGUGGUCCUGGGUGGGGCAUAGAGUAGGGAGUUCUCUCAGGUCUGGGGGUGGGGGUGGGGAUACCAGGGCAGGGAAGUGGGGUUGGGAACCCAGCUGUCCCUUCAAACAGCAGCACCACUAGGGGGCUGGGUAGGAGUUUCAUGGGCCAAUCGCUAGGGUCCCCACACUUCCUUUGCUGGGUUCUUUCUGUUCCCAGGCUUGGAAGCUUUGCACAAGAAGACAGCCCCCAGCUGCAGCACCUACCUCAUGAGCAUGGGGCAGGAUGGCAGGGCGGGUCUAGCCCUAGCAAUGUUGGGGGGCAUACCAAAGAAUCCAGGGAUGGAGCGUGGGGGAGGGCACGCUGGCCCUCCACUCCCUCUGCUAACAUUGGGUUGGGAUCCUCUCUCAGUUGUAACCCAUUUCUACCUCAUUUUGCUGUAUGUUGUACAUGGGCAUAUUUAUCUCCUGUCUGAUGAUGCUCUGCAGUUGUGGUCUGUCUACCUCAGAAGAGACUGUAUUUUAAAAGAAAAUAUUACACAGUAUUAAAGUUAUGACGUGUGGU
rnacentral:lncRNA from 1 species